GGAGCCCAUGCUGGAGCAGGGAAGGAGUGUGAGGAGUCCCUCCCCUGAGGAGGAACGAGUGAGUGGCAGAGACAACGUGUGAUGAACUGAUUGCAACCCCCACUCCCUGUCCCCCUGAGCUGGAGGAGGAGGAGGUAGAGAAUUUGGGAGUAAAGUAGAGCCCAGGAAAAAGGGAGGGGUGGAGUAAGAUAGUUCUGCUGAGUAUUUAGUGAGUUCACUGUUAUAG